UCUUGGGCUAAGCUGGCGGUGGGGGUGGGAGCCUGCUGAGCGCGGUCUCUGGCGAAUCUGCAGCCACGGGGCCCGGAGGAGCAGGCGAGCGUUCCAGGGCCGCCACCAGGGGGCAGUGCCGCCCAGCGCAGAGCGCAGCCUGGCCGGACGGCGAGGCGCAGCCGGUGCCCCGGCGGCCAGGAAACUUGGCUCCAGCGCAGCAAAACUUCCAUGACUAUGUGUCUAUUUCUUGAUAUCCUGAGCGUCCUGAUUAGCUGAAGAAGGACGCUGACCACCAGGAACACUAAGUAAAGGCCGAACAUGAUGAAGCCCAGCACUUUGUUCAUCCGCCAUUUGCAGAGGGCGAUGGAGAGGAUGACGAAGAGCAGCAUGAUGAAGAGGAGGACAAUGGCGCAGAAGAGCCCGUUGCUGCUGACAGCCACUGGCUGGAAUCUGUGGAUGAUGGUAUACAGGAGCCAGGGCAGUGGGAGCCUGUGAGGGAGAGGGGCAGGGCAGACGUGCAGUCAGACAUGCGGAAGGCCUAUGCGGUGACACAAGCUUAUUGGAACAUAAUCUGAGCAGGGUGUCUUGUUAGGCCCACUGUGACUCGGGCAUGGCCCAGAAAAUCACCUAAGGAAGUCAAGUGAACUUUAAAAUCUUUUAUCUAUUUCCCGAUCAAAUUAGGGAGAACAGAGAGAAUUUGUUCUACAGUUGAAUAAGAUCAAAGACAUGUCUGCUGUAGGUGAUUUCUGAAUUUGAUUCAAAAUAAUUUUUUUCUUUCUUUUCUUUUUGGGAUUAAAAUGUUGCUCUCACCCCUAAACAGGUGACCUAGAGAAUCUGUACGGGGUGAGAGGAGCAGAAAACAAAAGGAGAAAAGAAAAUAAUUUUGCCAUUUUCACCCAGUUUUAUUUUUGAAAAUGGAGAUAGAAUAGCAAUAACUUAAUUAAUGAUCUAAGAGUAAGUGAAAAUAUAUGCUUAUGAUGGAGGCUGUUUUGCAAUAUAACUGUCUGAAUAUUAUUUUGGAAAAGAGGGGCAAACCUUUUGACUAGAAAAUGGUCUUUAUGAAUGAUCUGAGGAAACAGUAUCUUACAUUUGUGAUGUGAUUUUGAAAAAAUUUAUUACGUAUUUUUAUACCCAUUCUCUCCCUUUGCUUUUGCCUUUUGAUAACAAUCUGAUAAAAUCUUUUGUUUCCUGUUCAUGACUCUGAAAGACAUCAGAAAAUCUAACUGCCAGGUGCCCUAUGAAGUGGGUUAAAAACCCUGUGUGAAAGGAACAUGGCUGAAAAUGCACAACUGCACCUCCAAGGGCUGGGUGAGAUGAAGCCAUGGAGCCUAAGGCUGGGAAACCACAGCCCCAGCCACCCAUCUGCACAGCAAAUGACAAAGGGAGAUUUAGUUUUGGCCUAGCCUCAGGGAUAUGGAAGAAAGAGGUGCCUUUUUGAAACUCAAAAUUCUCCAGAGGAAAAGCAAAUCACUUGAGAGAAAUAAUGAGAUGAAAGAGGCAGUGAGCUUACACACUGGUUUCCUCUGCUGGAGAGAGUGCUUGUGAAGACAGGGCCAUACCUGGUAUGCAUCUUUGAAUUCCUGGGGCUUGGGACAUGCAGGCUUCAGUUUGGCUGCCUAUGUUAACCUGGGCCAAGCUGAAAUCAUGGCGAGCAGUAUGGGCGCUUUGCCGGCUAGGCACUGAGAGGCACUGCCUUCAGAGGAGGAUGUCUGGAGGAAGGGCUCUGCAGGGCUGGCUCAGGAAACGAGGUGCAAUCCCAGCUCUCGGCAGUAGGGGGUGGCCCUGUUAGCCCACCGUCAGUACUGGGGAGUCAGAGCAGGGGAAGGGCAUGGCAGAGAGGGGUGACCAAAUGAAAAUGACAACCUCCUGUUAGGGACUUGUCCUAGGGAACUCUUCUUCCACACUUCCCGGGGAAGAACAAAAAAACCAAAAAACUUGUACUUUUAUUAAAUGGAAGUGGAAAAAGACCAAAAAACUUGUACACUUAUUAAGGAAGAACACACACACACAAACAGUUCUAGUGAAGUUGUGGUUGAUGCCACUACAAAUAGGUAAAAUAGGUAAAAACCCUUUGGGGGAAGAACAACACUUUUCAUACCUUUGGACCUAUCAAUUCUACAGUCAGAGAUCAAGUAUAAGGAGUAAUUCAAAAUGUAUAUAUAUAUAUGAAUUAAAAAAGGUGGUGGGUCAUCACUGAUUUCUAUUUAUGGUUUAUAUGAAUUUUCUAAACCUUUACCAUGAGUAUGUUUUAAUCUUAUGAGCAAGAAGAAAAUGCUGGAAAGACUAUGAAGAACGUUUUAUACUCAAUAUAUUGACAGUGACUUUGUAAAUUAGUAUAAACCCUUGGGAAAGACCGGAUGGAAAAAAUACAUUAGUAGCCAAUAAAUAGCUCAUAAUCCUUAAUUCAUUAAUAUUUCUUGAAGGAAUUUAUCCUAAUAAAAAUAA